CCUACGGGGGGCAGCAGUGGGGAAUAUUGGACAAUGGGGGGAACCCUGAUCCAGCCAUGCCGCGGGUGUGAAGAAGGCCCUCGGGUUUUAAAGCACUUUCAGUGAGGAAGAACGCCUGGUGGUUAAUACCCAUCAGGAAAGACAUCACUCACAGAAGAAGCACCGGCUAACUCCGUGCCAGCAGCCGCGGUAAUACGGAGGGUGCGAGCGUUAAUCGGAAUUACUGGGCGUAAAGCGCGCGUAGGUGGCUUGAUAAGCCGGUUGUGAAAGCCCCGGGCUCAACCUGGGAACGGCAUCCGGAACUGUCAAGCUAGAGUGCAGGAGAGGAAGGUAGAAUUCCCGGUGUAGCGGUGAAAUGCGUAGAGAUCGGGAGGAAUACCAGUGGCGAAGGCGGCCUUCUGGACUGACACUGACACUGAGGUGCGAAAGCGUGGGUAGCAAACAGGAUUAGAUACCCUGGUAGUC
rnacentral:rRNA from 1 species